CGACUUCCAGAGAUGCCAGAGGCUUGGGGGAACAUUCAACGCUGUCGGUGAGUUUGAGCAGCUGAAGGCAAACCAUCGACCGUUGAGUGGACCCUGCAGCCUUAACCUGCCACCUGACGCCUG
rnacentral:pre_miRNA from 12 species